AUUGAACGCUGGCGGCAGGCCUAACACAUGCAAGUCGAGCGAGCGGCGGACGGGUGAGUAAUGUCUGGGAAACUGUCUGAUGGAGGGGGAUAACUACUGGAAACGGUAGUUAAUACCGCAUACCAUCAGAUGUGCCCAGAUGGGAUUAGCUAGUAGGUGGGGUAACGGCUUACCGAGGCGACGAUCCCUAGCUGGUCUGAGAGGAUGACCAGCCACACUGGAACUGAGACACGGUCCAGACUCCUACGGGAGGCAGCAGUGGGGAAUAUUGCACAAUGGGCGCAAGCCUGAUGCAGCCAUGCCGCGUGUGUGAAGAAGGCCUUCGGGUUGUAAAGCACUUUCAUCAGGGAGGCGUUACCCGCAGAGGAAGCACCGGCUAACUCCGUGCCAGCAGCCGCGGUAAUUC
rnacentral:rRNA from 1 species